rnacentral:rRNA from 1 species
AACGAACGCUGGCGGCGCGCCUAACACAUGCAAGUCGAACGAGAAUCCGGGGCAACCCGGUAGUAAAGUGGCAAACGGGUGAGGAAUACAUGGGUAACCUACCCUUGAGAAGGGAAUAACCCGCCGAAAGGUGAGCUAAUACCCUAUACGCUAUCUUUUUUUCGAAAAGGAUAGGAAAGCCGGGUCGAGGACCUGGUACUCAAGGAGGGGCUCAUGUCCUAUCAGCUUGUUGGUGGGGUAACGGCCUACCAAGGCUACGACGGGUAGCUGGUCUGAGAGGAUGAUCAGCCACACUGGCACUGAGAUACGGGCCAGACUCCUACGGGAGGCAGCAGUGAGGAAUAUUGCGCAAUGGGCGAAAGCCUGACGCAGCGACGCCGCGUGGGGGAUGAAGGUUUUCGGAUUGUAAACCCCUUUCACUGAGGAGAGAUAAAGUGGGUAACCACUUAGACGGUACCUCAAGAAGAAGCCACGGCUAACUUCGUG